AUUGAACGCUGGCGGAAUGCUUUACACAUGCAAGUCGAACGGCAGCACGGGGGCAGCCCUGGUGGCGAGUGGCGAACGGGUGAGUAAUACAUCGGAACGUGCCCGGUCGUGGGGGAUAACGUAGCGAAAGUUACGCUAAUACCGCAUACGAUCUGAGGAUGAAAGCGGGGGACCUUCGGGCCUCGCGCGAUCGGAGCGGCCGAUGUCAGAUUAGGUAGUUGGUGGGGUAAAGGCCUACCAAGCCGACGAUCUGUAGCUGGUCUGAGAGGACGACCAGCCACACUGGGACUGAGACACGGCCCAGACUCCUACGGGAGGCAGCAGUGGGGAAUUUUGGACAAUGGGCGCAAGCCUGAUCCAGCCAUUCCGCGUGCAGGACGAAGACCUUCGGGUUGUAAACUGCUUUUGUACGGAACGAAAAGGCUCUGGCUAAUACCUGGGGCUCAUGACGGUACCGUAAGAAUAAGCACCGGCUAACUACGUG
rnacentral:rRNA from 1 species